rnacentral:rRNA from 1 species
CAUCUACGGAGAGUUUGAUCCUGGCUCAGGACGAACGCUGGCGGCGUGCUUAACACAUGCAAGUCGAGCGAGGCCCACUCUUCGGGGUGGUGCCCUAGCGGCGAACGGGUGAGUAAUACGUGGGCAACCUGCCCUCAGCUCUGGGAUAACUCCAAGAAAUUGGUGCUAAUACCGGAUGUG